GGGCGAGCGGCUGUGUGGAUGUCGGCGAAGCCGCGGGCGAGAUCACCUCUUAGGCAGAGCAGUGGGCGCAGAUGCCAUGGCGGGAAGCAGGCCUUUCUGAAUUCUUAGCAGCGAUCUCCAGGGGCACUCUAACCUUGCAAGAAAGAGGCUGCCAGUCUUGCAUCAGAUGCAGAAACCAGGGCGCAGAGUAGCCUGCCCCUCCUGUGACUUCCCCGUCUCGGGAAAUGGCACCAUCAUCAUCUACCUGGUGGCUCCGGCCAGAAAACAGGGAGGCAUCUUUGGAUCAUCUCACCCUCACCACCCA
rnacentral:lncRNA from 10 species